GGUUACAAAUCAGAGCGUAUGGUGGAUGCCUUGGUUGAAGUAGGUGAUGAAGGACGUCGCUGGCUGCGAUAAGCCUCGGGGAGUUGCCAAGCAAACUGUGAUCCGGGGAUGUCCGAAUGGGGAAACCCACCGAUGUUUACAUCGGUAUCAUUAUCUGAAUUCAUAGGAUAAUGAAACACACUCGCUGAACUGAAACAUCUCAGUAGGCGAAGGAAAAGAAAUCAAUUUGAGAUUCCGCAAGUAGUGGCGAGCGAACGCGGAAGAGUCUAAACCGAUGCACAGCAUCGGAAUGACCAAUUUCCAAUUUCCAAUUUCCAAUGAAAUUUCAAUGACCGAAUAUCCAAUUCACAAGAGAAAAUUUUUUCGUUUGUAAUUUGGAUUUUGAGGGUUGUGAUUUGCGUGGAUAUCGGGGUUUGUGAUUUGGAAAUUCCGCUGCUGUGCAGCGGGGUUGCGAGAUCAUGUCACUCGUUUGAUCGGGAUUUGCAUAUCACUCUUAGCAGAAGCGCUUGGAACGGCGCACCACAGAAGGUAACAGUCCUGUAUGUGAAAAGAGAGAUAUGCGGAUGUCAUGAUUCUCAAGUACGGCGGGACCGGUGAAAUCCCGUCCGAAUCCGGAAGCACUAACUUCCAAGACUAAAUACUACUUCAGACCGAUAGCGAACUAGUACCGUGAGGGAAAGGUGAAAAGCAUCCCGGUGAGGGAGGUGAAAAAGAUCUGAAACCAUACGCUAACAAAGAGUGGGAGCCUUACGCAUCACACUUCGGGUGAUGACUCAGUGCAAAAUUAAAAAAUCAAAGUGCAAAAUGACAAUUCAAAAUAAUUUAAUGGUAAAUACUUUUGAAUUCCAGUAAUUUUUACAUUUUACUCCGUCAUUUUCAUUUUUGAGAUUUACAUUUUACAUUAAACAAGCAUCGCGCGCAGCGUGAUGCGUGGGGUGACCGCGUGCUUUUUGCAGAACGACCCAACGAGUUACUUCUACGCGGCUUGCAUAAGCCACUGUGUGGCGUAUGCGUAGUGAAAGCGAGCCUGAAAGGGCGUCCGCCUUUUGGCGGGAUGUCGCGUGGAGUAGACCCGAAACCGGACGAGCUACACAUGAGCAGGGUGAAUCCGCUGUAAAAGGCGGAGGAGGCCCGAACCCACUGAUCGUUCAAUGUCAGGGGAUGACUUGUGUGUAGGGGAGAAAUUCCAAUCGAGUUCGGAAAUAGCUGGUUCUCUCCGAAAUAGCUUGAGGGCUAGCGUCGUGCCAUUAAACAGAAGAGGUAGAGCUACUGAAUGAGAAUUCGCGGCUUGCCGUAGAGUUCUCAACCAAACUCCGAAUGCUUCUGUUCGUACCACGGCAGUCAGAACUACGGGGCUAAGCUCGUAGCUCAAAAGGGAAACAGCCCAGAUCAUAAUCUAAGGUCCCCAAAUCCAUGCUCAGUGCGUGAAAGGAAGUGAGAUUUCUGAGACACCUAGGAGGUUGGCUUAGAAGCAGCCAUCCUUUAAAAAGUGCGUAAUAGCUUACUAGCUUAGAGAUCUUGCGCCGAAAAUAUAACGGGGCUUAAGCAUGGUACCGAAGAUAUGGGUCCCGCACCUAUUUUGCGCAUGUGCCGAAGGCACGAAAAAAACUCUUGUCAAACCACAGGAAAAUGUAGUUUGCAGGAGUUGUGAUGUCACAAUAAAAGUGAAAAGUUGUGGCGCAAAAUAGGUGCGGGACGGUAGGAGAGCGUUCCGUGUGCGCUGAAGCUGAAGCGCGAGCGACGGUGGAGUGCACGGAAGUGAGAAUGUUGGGAUGAGUAACCGCAAUUCCGGUGAGAUUCCGGAACACCGAAAAUCCAAGGUUUCCUGGGCAAUGGCGAUCAUCCCAGGGUUAGUCGGUCCUAAGGCGAGGCCGAAGGGCGUAGUCGAUGGACAUCAGGUUAAUAUUCCUGAACUGUUUGUGGCUCGUAAAUGAAGAGACGUGUUGCAGUACCUCUUGCGCAUUACUGGAUUUGCGUAGGGAUGAUGAGGAUGUGUGGCAGGAAAAUCCGUCACACACUCAAUCCAAGUCAUUUCUGGAAUUUCGUGCUUCGGCACGAGAAAACGAGAGGGAGCGCGGCACCAGGAAAAGCUUCUAUGCCCUCACGCCAACUCUGGCAGAAAUCCGCAUGAAAGGGAUUAUUUCUGGAGUUGGUGUGAGGGAUCCACACGCAACCGUACCGAAAACCGACACAGGUGGAUUGGGCGAGUAGCCUAAGGUGAACGGGUGAUUCUUCGUUAAGGAACUCGGCAAAAAAUCUAGACGUAUGUUCGCGAGAUGUCUUCCCCGCCGCAAGGCGGGGCGCAGCAAAAGUGCCCAAGCGACUGUUUACCAAAAACACAGGUCUCUGCAAACCCGUAAGGGGAAGUAUAGGGGCUGACACCUGACCAGUGCCGGAACGUUAACGGGAGCGGUUCACGCCAAUCCCCGAAGCGCCGGUGAACGUCGGCGAUAACUAUAAUCGUCCUAAGGUUCUGGUCCCGCUUAGGCGGGAUCGGAAGGACUGGGACGAUUAUGGAAAAUGUUUGGUUUACAGAAAAUUUGCCGAGAGUGAGAAAGUUACACAAGGAAAAGUAUCUGCUUAUCUUAUGUGUGAACAUAAGAUGUCCUAAAACAUUCAGCUAUAUGCUGGGAAGUCUGGCGCAUCUGAAGCUACUAUGGUAUAAUUAUUCCAUAGAAAAGUAUAUGGAAUUAUGCCGCGUAAAAAUGCUUGCAGUGCAGACAAUCAGCAGGAAAGACUAAAAACAAUCGGCUGGAUCGUCGGAUAUGUCGACGGGGAGGGAUGUUUUUCAGUCAGUCUUUUCAAAAAUAAAACCACGCGAUUCGGUUGGCAAGUAUUUCCGGAAUUCGUGGUGACGCAAGGCGAGAAAAGCAAGAAGUCAUUGGUGAUUCUGAAAAAUUUUUUCAAUUGUGGAAAAAUUUAUGUCAACAAAAGACAGGAUAAUCACAAUGAAAAUAUUUAUCGCUAUUGCGUGAGAUCAAGAAAAGAGCUGACGGAAAUUAUUAUUCCAUUCUUUCGUGCGAACAAUCCAAGAACAGCCAAAAAUCGUGAUUUCAAUCUUUUUGCAAAAAUCGUAGAUAUGAUGAGCAGAAAUGUUCAUAGCAAGAGAAGCGGAAUGACGAAAAUCGCAAAAACGAUUGAAAAAAUGAACCAUAAAAAAUUAUCAUUGUUUUUAGAGUCCUCAGAGACUGAAUGCUGAACUCUGGCGAAGUGUCGGAGAAGAUACAGUCCAUACUCCAUGGCGACAGGGAGAAUCAUAGAGCGAAAUUCCUUGGCAGGUAAAUUCUGUCCCGCAUGAAAGGUGUAACGACUUGGGAACUGUCUCAACGAAGAGCCCGGUGAAAUUGCAGUGGGGGUGAAGAUGCCCCCUACCUAUGGCUAGACAGAAAGACCCCGUGGAGCUUUACUGCAACUUGGUAUUGAUUCAAGAUGACAACUGCCGAGAAUAGGUGGGAGACUUUGAAGUGCCGCUUCCGGGCGGCAUGGAGUCACCAGUGGAAUACCACUCUGUUGUUAUUUUGAAUCUCACUUAGCACCGUCUAUCCGGUGCGAGGACAGUGCCUGGUGGGUAGUUUGACUGGGGCGGUCGCCUCAAAAAAUCGGUAUGGUUGAUAAACAUUCUCCGCCCAACGGACCUCUAUUACAAGAAUGGUUAUCAUAUGAUGUGUGUCUGGACCGAUCGGGGGCCCUCCGACAGAAAUGUCGGAGCGCAAAGCUAACUAUAUGCUGGAACAUCCGCCAGUAUCUUGGAAUACUCAUUCGACAUCAUUUUUGUGUCGGGUAGUGAAAAUUUCUCAAGUGAUGCGGACAAUCAGCAGGGAUAUCCUCAACGACUACACGUUAGCAUCCGACGAUAUUUUGCAUGACAAAAUAUAUCGGAGAUGAUAUAGUCUGAACUUUCUGGCGACAGAAAGAAUCUCGAUGUAUGAUAUGCAAAGAGAUACCGAACAAUCUAAAGAGUAUGCGCUCAAAAACAAUCGAGGAAUACAAGAAAACACUCAUUCUUUCCUCCCGACAGAAAGAGAUCCUGACAGGACUUCUCUUGGGAGAUGGCCAUCUGGAGACCCAGAACAGAGGACGGACUUAUCGGCUCAAGGUCGAGCAAUCCCUUCGCAAGAAAGAAUAUGUUGAUUGGCUUUUCCAUGAGUUCCGUGACUUUGUUCGUACGGAACCGAAGGAAAAAGAAAAAACUCGAAAUGAAAGCCGGACAAAGAAUGUCGGCUUCAGUACGUUGAGCGUCGGAAAUUUUCGAUUCCAUGCGCAGCAGUUUUAUCAAGGGAAACAAAAAGUGAUACCGAAGCGUAUCGAAAAAUUUUUGUCUCCUUUGGCGCUCGCAGUGUGGUUUAUGGAUGAUGGUUCUCAAAAAUCAUCACUCCAUAGAGCGAGAAUCCUCAAUACUCAAGGAUUUCGAAAGCAGGAGAUUGAAAAACUUAUCCAUAUACUGGAUAAAAAAUUCAACCUUCAGGCAAGACCUCGAAAUCAAAAAGAUGGAUAUCAGAUAUAUAUUGCUGCUGUUUCAGCCGAUCGGCUGAAACAGAUCGUCGAGGAAUACGUCGUUCCUUGUAUGCGAUAUAAACUCUGAAUGUCUUAACCCGGUUAACACAGUGCCUAAAAUGUAACGGAGGCGUUUACUAAGGUUGGCUAGGUGCGGAUGGAAAUCGCACCGAUAGCGCAAAAGCAGAAGCCAGCUUUACUGAGAGACCGAUCAGUCGAUCAGUCACGAAAGUGGAAUUUAGUGAACCGACCAUCGCUCGUAGGAGCGUGGAAGAUCAUCAGAUAAAAGUUACCCCGGGGAUAACAGGCUAAUCCCUCCCAAGAGUCCAUAUCGACGGAGGGGUUUGGCACCUCGAUGUCGGCUCAUCGCAUCCUGGGGCUGGAGAAGGUCCCAAGGGUUUGGCUGUUCGCCAAUUAAAGCGGUACGCGAGCUGGGUUCAAACCGUCGUGAGACAGGUUGGUCCUCUAUCUGCCAUAGGCGUCGUUGCUUGAGAGGAGUCUUUCCUAGUACGAGAGGACCGGAAAGAACAAACCUCUGGUGUAUCGGCUGUUCCGCCAGGAGCAUCGUCGAGUAGCUAAGUUUGGACGGGAUAACCGCUGAAAGCAUCUAAGCGGGAAGCCCACCUCAAGAUAAGGCAAUAUGUCCCCGUUAAACGGGACGGUUUUCCUAGAAGAUGACUAGGUACAUAGGCUUCAGGUAGAAGCUCUGUGAGGAGCGGAGCCGAGAAGUACUAAUAAAACGACAAUGUAACUCC
rnacentral:rRNA from 1 species